GGAAACUGGGAGACUUGAGUGCAGAAGAGGAGAGUGGAAUUCCAUGUGUAGCGGUGAAAUGCGUAGAGAUGUGGAGGAACACCAGUGGCGAAGGCGACUCUCUGGUCUGUAACUGACACUGAGGCGCGAAAGCGUGGGGAGCAAACAGGAUUAUAUACCCUGGUAGUCCACGCCGUAAACGAUGAGUGCUAAGUGUUAGAGGGUUUCCGCCCUUUAGUGCUGAAGUUAACGCAUUAAGCACUCC
rnacentral:rRNA from 1 species